rnacentral:rRNA from 1 species
CACGUAGGGCGCAAGCGUUGUCCGGAAUUAUUGGGCGUAAAGAGCUCGUAGGCGGUCUGUUACGUCUGCUGUGAAAACCCGGGGCUUAACCCUGGGCUUGCAGUGGAUACGGGCAGACUAGAGGCAGGUAGGGGAGAAUGGAAUUCCCGGUGUAGCGGUGAAAUGCGCAGAUAUCGGGAGGAACACCAGUGGCGAAGGCGGCUCACUGGACCGGUUCUGACGCUGAGGCGCGAAAGCGUGGGGAGCAAACGGG